ACUGACCCUAGAGGCACUGCAGGUAUGGGUAGGGUGGUACACGUGUCCAUUGAUGAUAGAGAGGAGAGAUGCUAUGUAUACUCUCCGUGUACUCUGAACUAUGAACAUCUGGAUGAUUAGUAGCCCAACAUU